rnacentral:misc_RNA from 1 species
AAGUCGUAACAAGGUUUCCGCAGGUGAACCUGCGGAAGGAUUAUUAACACGUAUCCAAACGUAAAAACCCCCCUCCCCGUGAGCAUUCAAUCCUGCUCUUGUAACCCGCGUAGUUCGCAAUCUCUGGUAAAUCAUAGCCCGGAAAGUAGUUUUGAUUCAGAGACCUCUGGCUACGUGAGAACAUUGGAACAGUUACAAUCGAGCGGUAGUUUCAUAGGCAUUGUUUCCCCAAGCAGUUAGUGUCUGAAAGUGUCACUGAUUGUGCAAGGAUAGCGCUUCAACGAUUCCUGUAGACCGUACACUCGGGCAGGAGCUAUGCCAAAGGGUCCCCAUGCCCCCUUAUAACCCCACAGUUUAAUGUGAAGCUCAAUGUAAUACAUUGGGUAAAAAAACCGAACAACUGUUAACAAUGGAUAUCUUGGUUCUC